CCUCUAGGAACGCUGAGACCUAAAAUGUCGAUGGUUCCUUCCAGGAAGAAUUAGACCUUGGUCGUAUCCCAAGACCCUGGGCUCUGUGGACACGAGGCGCCCUGAGAUCUCUCGAGGGCCCCUGCUACACGGGGCUGGGGCAGGAGAGCCCAGGUGAUGUGGAUUUCUGAAGCCAGAGUAAGAAGUCUGGACUUUAUUCUAAGGGGCAAUGAGAAGGCGUUAGUGGGUAUAGCAGGAUGUGACAGGCUCUUGCUUGUGCUUUUCAAAGGUCAUUCCAGAUGCUCCCUGCAGACUGUGGCUGGCAAGAAUGAAGGAGCUAGAAGCCUGUUGCAAUAACGCCAGAGAUGACAACGGCUACAUAUGGCAGGUACCAGAAAGAGAGGAAUUGGGUGGUCUCCUGGAACUGUGGCUUCCUCUUUCUUUUGUCUUAAGCAGUGACCAGGCUGUGUCUGAAGGAAGUUCAGUUCAGUCCCUUCUUCUGUGAAACUGCUGAAGCUCUCUGCUCAGGAAGACUCAGAAACCCUGGCUCCGUGGUCAUUCCCUCUUUUCUCUCCCAUCUUCCCUGCUCUUCCGAGGGAGCAGAGCCGCUGGCUCACCGAUUUGCCCAGCACUGAGUUUCUCUGACGCUGAGUGCAGAAGCCCAGGGGUGUACAGCCAGACCGAGCCGUCUCCAAGGUGCGGGGACUGAGGACCCACAUGCGGAGGGAUUUGAGCCCUGAGCGCUUUUUAUUAGUUUUCCUAAGGUGGUUUAAGGCACAAGAGAAGGUACACAAAGGCCUGGAAGUAGGUCAGGAUGGAUCAGCAUGGCAAAGCCGCCAAGGGCAGGAGGUAAAGGCCUCGCCUGCUAAGACAGGGAAAGCAUGGUGGUCUUCCCUGCGAGCUGCCAGACCCAGGGAGGCUCUGGUGUCUGAGCUCGGUGUUGACACAGGACCCUGAUGACCGGCAGGGCCAUGUCCCCAGAGCGUCCCCCCCCCACCUCCUGGCUGUGCUGCAUCUCCCCAACACCAACAGGGUGCACUGGGGGACACUGGCCUUGGACUCAGAGAGUCUCAGCUCUGCCCCAAACUAUCGGGAUUUUCAGAAGCCACCAUCUCUGAGCCUGUGACAACGGACGAUGACACUUGUCCACCUGCUUCCCAGGGUUGCUCAGUGAUGAUGAGCUCGUGUGCACGAAAUCCCUGUGGGGGUCGUAAGGCUCAGGCUCUAUAUAACUGGAGACCAUUGUUCCUAGUCGUUUAUAUUUUCCACUAAGACAAACAAAUGUUCCAG
rnacentral:lncRNA from 1 species